rnacentral:lncRNA from 1 species
UGUUUGAGGUGUUGUAGCUUAUCCCGUUGAUGUGAAUCCAGGGAAUGAAGGAACCAAGCUUCUUCAACGCAUGGGAGAAGAUUCUGGAUGCGGCCGAGACAUGGAAACUGUCGACGUGGAUGCAGGGGACUAUGCUCAUGGCUGAAGCAUGGGAAACAGUGGGUUUGAGAGGAUCUCGGAGGGGAAGAAUAACAUGGAAUUCAGAAGAGAUGAAGCUGGGACGGCUGGCAGUUGGGAUGCAAAUGGAUCACAGAGGAAGUGGAUGGGAUGAAUCCAGAAUGCUGGGAUGAAUCAAGGGGAGUUCGGCUGAGAUUGGUUCCGAAACAGGGGAGGAUGGCAAGUGGGUGGCUGGGAGCUUAUCCAUUGAGAAGAACGCAGCUGCUGUGAUUCGUGAUGAAGAUGAAUGAUUUAGGAGCAGGGGAUUUAAAUGAAUCAGUUGUUUCGUUUCAAUUUGUUGGGUAAUUUUGCUCUUCACGACUGAAACAAGGGAAGGUGUUUAGAUGCCGUGAAAUCUGGGACUUGGUUCCGAACGGGAGGGAGAAACGGAAUGGUUGAAUGCGAGUGGAUGUGAAGGAAACUUGAAACAAUGGUUGGGAUGUUGGGAGAUUAAGCCGGAAGAUGGGAUUUGAGUUUAUCCCAUGGAGAUGGAACCAAUCCGAGCGGGAUGAGCAUGGGAGAUUCGGCGAAGAGGAUGAGGCUGAAUCUAUAAUCGGUUGGGAGCGUGAACAGAGGAGAUGAGCUGGGGCUUUGAUCUUCAUCCAUGGAUGCGGGAAGGGAUAAGGAUGAUUACGAAUGUGAGAUUGAUCAGGAAGAAGGGAUCUCAUGCGGAUGGUGUUAGAUCACAAAAAAUCCGAAAGUGCUGGGAAAUCCGGAAGAAGACGUGGCUUUGUUCGGACGAUGGAAUCCUCACGGGGUUCGGAUAAUGAAGGGGUCCGUGGGUCUCGGCUGGGUGUGAAAGAAGUUGGGGAUCCGGUCGUGGAAGAAGGGAAUGGCUGGGGUCAGGUGAUGAUUUUUUGGGAUGAAGAUUGGUCGGUUUGGGAUGAGGAGAUUUGAAGUUAUUCGACUCGGAAGAGGGCAGAUACGUAGAGAUGCAGACACUGGGAAGAAAACGGAAUGAAGGAGCUUGGACAUGGCUCGGUUCGUGGGAGAACAAUGCGGAAGGAUGACGCGGACACGGGUUCAGCUGCAAACGCGACCUGCACACAUUAGACUCAACCAAUAAAAUUAAGCAAACUCGAAUUAUUUCUAAUAAUUUAUUAAAAUGCAAUGAUGAAG